UACGAAGGGGGCUAGCGUUGUUCGGAAUUACUGGGCGUAAAGCGCACGUAGGCGGACAUUUAAGUCAGGGGUGAAAUCCCAGAGCUCAACUCUGGAACUGCCUUUGAUACUGGGUGUCUGGAGUAUGGAAGAGGUGAGUGGAAUUCCGAGUGUAGAGGUGAAAUUCGUAGAUAUCUGGAGGAAUACCGGUGGCGAAGGCGGCAUCCUGGACCGGCAUUGACGCUGAGGAGCGAAAGCUAGGGGAGCAAACGGG
rnacentral:rRNA from 1 species